rnacentral:rRNA from 1 species
AGAGUUUGAUCAUGGCUCAGGAUGAACGCUAGCUACAGGCUUAACACAUGCAAGUCGAGGGGAAACGACAUCGAAAGCUUGCUUUUGAUGGGCGUCGACCGGCGCACGGGUGAGUAACGCGUAUCCAACCUGCCCACCACUUGGGGAUAACCUUGCGAAAGUAAGACUAAUACCCAAUGACGCCUCUAGAAGACAUCUGAAAGGGAUUAAAGAUUUAUCGGUGAUGGAUGGGGAUGCGUCUGAUUAGCUUGUUGGCGGGGUAACGGCCACCAAGGCUACGAUCAGUAGGGGUUCUGAGAGGAAGGUCCCCCACAUUGGAACUGAGACACGGUCCAAACUCCUACGGGAGGACA